CAGUCGCCGCGGUAAAACGUAGGGUGCAAGCGUUAAUCGGAAUUACUGGGCGUAAAGCGUGCGCAGGCGGUUCGCUAAGACAGAUGUGAAAUCCCCGGGCUUAACCUGGGAACUGCAUUUGUGACUGGCGGGCUAGAGUAUGGCAGAGGGGGGUAGAAUUCCACGUGUAGCAGUGAAAUGCGUAGAGAUGUGGAGGAACACCGAUGGCGAAGGCAGCCCCCUGGGCCAAUACUAACGCUCAUGCACGAAAGCGUGGGGAGCAAACAGGAUUAGAUACCCCCGUAGUCCCUGUCUCUUAUAA
rnacentral:rRNA from 1 species